CAACAGCUAGAGUUUGAUCCUGGCUCAGGAUGAACGCUGGCGGCGUGCAUAACACAUUCAAGUCGAACGGAGCAGAUCCCUUCGGGGGUUUACUUAGUGGCGGACGGGUGAGUAACGCGUGAGCAACCUGCCUUUGUGAGGGGAAUAACGUUUGGAAACGAACGCUAAUACCGCAUGACACACAGACUUUGCAUGAAGUUUGUGUCAAAGAAUUAUCGCACAGAGAUGGGCUCGCGUCCGAUUAGAUAGUUGGUGGGGUAACGGCCUACCAAGUCAGCGAUCGGUAGCCGGACUGAGAGGUCGAACGGCCACAUUGGAACUGAGAACGGUCCAGACUCCUACGGGAGGCAGCAGUGGGGAAUAUUGGGCAAUGGGCGAAAGCCUGACCCAGCGACGCCGCGUGAAGGAAGACGGUCUUCGGAUUGUAAACUUCGGUACUCAGGGACGAAGCAAUGACGGUACCUGAGGUUAAGCCACGGCUAACUACGUGCC
rnacentral:rRNA from 1 species